GAUUAACGCUAGCGGCAGGCCUAAUACAUGCAAGUCGAACGGCAGCACGGGUAGCAAUACCUGGUGGCGAGUGGCGCACGGGUGCGUAACACGUAUGCAAUCUACCUUUAACUGGGGAAUAACCCCUCGAAAGAGGGGCUAAUACCGCAUAACACUUCGAUGGGACAUCCCAAUGAAGUCAAACCUACGGGGGUUAAAGAUGAACAUGCGUCCGAUUAGCUAGUUGGCGAGGAACGGCUCACCAAGGCAACGAUCGGUAGGGGAUCUGAGAGGAUGAUCCCCCACACUGGUACUGAGACACGGACCAGACUCCUACGGGAGGGCAGCAGUAAGGAAGUAUUGGACAAUGGGCGCAAGCCUGAUCCAGCCAUGCCGCGUGCAGGAUGAAAGUGCUAUGCACU
rnacentral:rRNA from 1 species